rnacentral:rRNA from 1 species
UGGGGAAUAUUGGACAAUGGGCGAAAGCCUGAUCCAGCCAUGCCGCGUGUGUGAAGAAGGUCUUCGGAUUGUAAAGCACUUUAAGUUGGGAGGAAGGGCAUUAACCUAAUACGUUAGUGUUUUGACGUUACCGACAGAAUAAGCACCGGCUAACUCUGUGCCAGCAGCCGCGGUAAUACAGAGGGUGCAAGCGUUAAUCGGAAUUACUGGGCGUAAAGCGCGCGUAGGUGGUUUGUUAAGUUGGAUGUGAAAUCCCCGGGCUCAACCUGGGAACUGCAUUCAAAACUGACUGACUAGAGUAUGGUAGAGGGUGGUGGAAUUUCCUGUGUAGCGGUGAAAGGCGUAGAUAUAGGAAGGAA